rnacentral:lncRNA from 1 species
UUAGGUAAAGGAUAUCACCCAUUAAGGGCGUUAGUUUGGCUGGAGGAUAUGGGAGGGGGAAACUUUUAACUUUGUUGGAUACUUUUUGAAUGGUGUGGAUAAGGGGUGGAUGAUAAGGAAGAAAAUAUAGAGAGAGAAACAAAAAAUAAAAUAUAGAUGUUAAAAAUAUAUAUUUUAUUUCUCUCUCUAUAUAAUAAAAAAAAAAUUAUACAUUUUGUUUCUUUAUAUCUAUUUUUUCUUAUCCCCACUCCCUAUCCCCUAGAUAACUUUUAGUGAGGUCUAGGCCACCCAAAAACAUCUGCCUUAUCAAUCUUCGGGGCAUUUAAAAUAUCCGCCUCCAUUCGCCAGCCCAAACGCGGGAGGAAAAAAAAAUUAUCGGGGGGUAAAAGUAUCCCCCUCAAAAUCCGGGGAGCCAAAACGAACCAUAAUAGUUAAAGUAAAUGGUAUGUCGUACUACUACCAAAGGAGAGAAUAAUUAACUUAUUGCUUAUUACUUAUUAGAAUAGACGUAUUAACUCAUGAUUAUUAUAAAUUCUCAGAGCAUAAUGUAGGAGCAUGGUUAUAUAUUUUAGUGUUAGUUCUAGUGUUUUUAGUUCGUACACAUUCAUCUAUUUUGAUUUCUAACAGAAUAGGUUCAAUUGAUGCGAAUUAUAUUAUGUGAAUAAUUACAUAAAGCAGCAUUAAUUUUAUACUUUUGCUAACUAAUAAUGUAAGGAAACAUCUUAAUAAUGUGAAUUGAAAUAAAAUAUUUUCUAUCUGCAUAGUCCCUGUAGGGAAAACUUGAUGAUAGGCGUGGAUUUAUGAGCAAUGUUAUUGAAACAUUUAGAGUUAAUCUAACAAAGAAUUUGGGGAAUGAAUGUGAAUAAGUUCUUUAUCAUGCAUUUUUUAAUUUGAACUCAUUUGCCUGGUCAAAUGGACUAUAUCAAAAAGUAAUUAUGAAAAUAUGAAGAUUAAGUGAAAGGUUGUUAAUUGCCAUUAUGUUUAUUGGGUUUAUCAUGUUAGGAUUUUUUAUCAUAUCCAUAUAAACCUUUCUCAUUCUAUUGGUCAAGAAAGAGACAUUAUUUGUAAUACAACCUAUCUUGAUGGGUUAGUAGAGUUAAGGUUAAUAAGGGAAAACUGAUCCUCUCUCUGUUAUAAAUGUACAUUUGUAUCACUCAUUAACUGUGUGAAUAAGAUAAAUUGGUUAAGAGAGAGAAACUCAGUUUUUAGGAGAUUAAUAAAGAAUGAAGUAAAUCAUUAUAAAAGUUUGCUAUAGGUAGUUUUAUUUAUUCCGGACUUUAUUAUACUGUGAAAACUAUGAUUAUUUAGAUCUUGAAUUAAGUUAUUACGAUGAAAUCUAGAAAUUUAGAUUAACAAAGGGAAAACCUACCUAGAAAUAGAAAAACCAAACUUAAUAAAAAAGAAGACUAAGGACUAAAAGACAUACAAAAUAGGCAACAUGAGCCUUAAAACGAGUAGCCACAGUGGGCCCCCAACAACAUAGCAGCAUCAAGCAACUUGCAGCAAACACACUUCAACGCAACACCAACAAACAGAUGAGACAGAACCGCCGGCAAAGUAUAUAGCCAUACCCAGCCAGAAAGCAGGGGAAAAACAAAAAAAAAACCACAGUAGCACAUUCCGACAGCUUAAAGCACAUAAGGGUUCAUCCAAUCAAUAGCUAAUGGAAAAAACACAUCAUACCAGGGAGGCUAAGAAAAUGACCAUGCCAUAUCCCGCAUGGGUAGGAAAACCAAAUAUCAAACAAUAGCAAUAAGCCAUUUGAGCAGAGUACGAACAGCCUAAUGGAAAACAUUAAGGAAAAUCAAACCCAACUACAAAGGGGAACCAAAAGCCUGUCCUAACAGGGCCAAUCAAACCCAUGCACUCACGUUGAAAAAGAAAAAAUUAGAAUUAAUAUAGGAUGAAAAGGAAAAUAAAACUCACUGAUUUUACCACACUCAAACCCCUCACCUGCACCUCACAUGAUGUCCUCACUAAGAUACAAUGAAGCCAUAAUUAAUUUGAUAUCUGACUGCAUUUGCAAAAACAAAGAUUAGACCUGCUUACUCUUGAAUUUUAUAAGUCCACCAAGAGUUGACAUAAAGGAAUGCGAAAAUUGGAGAGAACCAAAACUUGGUUUGUAAAACUAUUAUUCAAACCAAUCAUUGAUUUCAUUGGCAUGGCGUUUAGAACUUUUCGUUCCAAGAGUCACAUCUCUUAGUUUUAAUUCAAGAGUUAUGGAAACCCACUCUUAAUUACUUUUAAAAUAACAAAAACAAAUAUCUGAUAAAAUAAAUAGAUAGAUAGAUAAGUUCCAACAGAACUCACAUUCAAGACAAAUAAAUUGAAAAAAUUAGUCAUGACAGUUUGAAACUUCCAACAAGUCCCUCCCCCAAUAAUACCUGUCCAACACACAAGCUGUUUUGGUCAAAAGCAUAUCCGCCAAUUGCCAAUAUUCAAUCUGAAAAUCUUCAACCAAAUUGACCUCUUCCUAAUUUUUUGUUGGUCAUGGACUUUGAUAGCUAGUUCCUGUUUAGUUGAAAGUCUUUUCAUUCAUUAUGUCCAAAUAUUUGAUUAUUGACAAAUAAGAUUCUAAUACUAGUAGUUUUGAAUGUAUAACACCUCGAGGGGAUUGACAAAUUGGCGGUGAACAUAAUUAGUACUCUCAUGUGCUAUGGAAAUAUAGCGUGAAUUUCACAUGCCACUUUUGUUUAAGGUUUUGUCAUUUUCAAAAUCAUGCCAACGCUAAGUCUCUGGGCCAAAUUGGAUAUCCAAGAAAAAUAACUUGUUUAAGGUUUUUGUUAUUUUCAAAAUCAUGCAAACGCUAAUCUCGUGCCAAAUUGUAUAUCCAAUAAAAAAUACCUUUUUCAAGCACGAGGAUCAAACUUUUGACAAUAACAAUGAGGAGAUCUUUAUCCUUUUUGGACGAUAGCAACAUUCAUAAAAAAAAAAGAUGUUAGUUUAAAGGUAAGAUUUAUGAAAAGUAUAUACGUUGUACUUGACUAAUCACAGUAUGUAAAUCGUACAAUACUACUUGGAGUUCUUGAACUUGACCUGAUCAAAGUAGCGAGAAUCCACUAUUUUAUAAUCUAGAAAUUUGCCGACAUGAAUUUGUUCAUUCCAGUAUCAAUCUGUUUUAUAUUUCUUAUCCAAGGAUUCCCAUAAUUCAUUCGUUGUCGAUCUUGAUCAGAUUAUAUACAUUGUAACAAUAUAUGGUCCAAUCUGUUUGAGGAUAUAAGUACGGCCACGGAAAAUCUGCAUGCUUUCCAAGCAUCAACAGCCGCAACAACUUCUAUCUCGACUCAUUUUCUUCCAGAGUUGGAGCCCGUUUCAAUGUAGGAAUCUUGUUCAAUUUAGAAUUUCAAAUAAAACCACAUCUUUGUUGACACCUCUUAAAACCAUUCCAUUAACUUUUUUGGCUUUUGUGGUCUCCAUGAUUCACCGGAACCUUGCAGGAAUGGGUGACAUAACAGUAACGAGGUUACUUCCAGAACCAGUGCAUCAAAUACCCUUUUCAUUGAUUCUAAGAACACAGAAUAUAACUAUAAUCUACGUAAAAAAAUUACAAUAAACCAAAUAUUAUCUGCUUAAGAGUGGUUUAAACAAUCUUUGUGCAAUAAUGUCUGAAAAUGGUAUUAACUAUUCUGAAAUGAAUGGAUAACAAUCAAAAAUCAAAACGAAUCUUGUAGAACUUUAUUGUAGAAAAAACGAAAUCUACACAAUUGUACUGGGACUUGUAUUCGAUUCGUGUACUUAAGAAUUAAUCCUCUGCACUUGUGCCAACGGAAUGAAGGUAGGGGUAUUCAUGGUGGUAUUGGUCCUGUUUCUAUAAGAACCAGUAACCAAUCCAUUUUUAAUAGUUCUGAAAAAUAAGAACGGAACCUAACCUUACACUAUAAACCAACCCAAAACCAAUCUCGCCUAAUUGGGUCGAUUUCGGUUCAAUCCAUUAACAUUCUAAAUUUUUAAAUAUGAAUUUGUCAACAAAGUUUGUUUCAUUUAAAUACCCUUAUAACUUCAUUAAUACUUUAAGUCACAACCAAAAUUAACAAAACUUCAUAGAUUGACUCUUCAAAAUGAUCUUUACAUCAACCAACAUAAUAUAGCAUUAACAACUCAUAAAAAGUUAAAUUUAUAAGGGAUAACAACAAAAAAGGAAUAAAACGAAUACUGAAAAAGAUUCAUAGGUACAAAAAAAAAUCACUGAUAAACUCUUGGAUAGAGAAAGACGGUGGAAGAUUGUGAUGGAAGGGGAUGGAAAUCCUAAUAUCCAUGGAAGUGACAUAUGUUGUUGGAGGAAAGCCUAAGUAAUCAACGCGCCAUUGUGAUUACGGUUUUAGGUGUUUCGGUUUGCGAUAAAUAAAUGUUCGUGUGUGUAAUAUAUAUAUAUAAUAUAAAAUCAAUAGUUUCAAGUUUGGGUUCGACCACGGUUUGAAAACAAAACACGGUCACCAAACCAAAUUUACCGGUUCGUAAUUUUUAAAAACCCAGAACCUAACCAUUACAACCUAAAAAUCAAUCCAAAAGGCACGUGCAGUCCAGUUCGGUCUGGUUCACCGUGUUUUAGAUUUUUUUGGACCCCCCUAAUGACAACGUACAUUUGUCCUUCCAUUAUAAAGAGUCGGAAUCUCUCACUGGUGCAGUACUACAAGCAAUGAGCCUGGCGAGCCAACAACAAUGAUUACUCUUCUUAUAGUAUGAAAAUAUUCAAAGGAAGUGUAGAAGAGAAGAAAAUUCGAGUUGCACGAUAUGCUAGAAUGGCUGAAAGGGAAGACUUUUAUAGAAGAAUCAGUGUAUGUUGGAAGCGAUGCAACUCUUCAAAAUCCGUUUGGGUUAAAAUUUGAACGAAUAGGUACCAAAACAAACAAACGCAACUGUUUUGGGUACAAUCCGAAUGGACGCAACUGUUUAGAAAAACCAAUCCGAACAGACGCAACUAUUCUGGACCAAAAUGCAAUUAUUGAAAACUUAUUUAUUAAAAAAAUAAAUAAAUUUCUGAACAAAAUAUAGAGAAGGUCCAACCUACGUAAUGCCCCACCCACUAAACCACGACCACUACCAUGUCCCCUAGGGCGAUGCAUCAUGUAUUUUUCAGUACAAAAACCACAUAGUCCCUAGUCAAGGCCCAAACCCAUUCAUUACUUAAUCAUAACUCCCCUCAUCUAAAACUUGGGUACUAUCCCUUGAGGCCCAUCCUAAGGUUGUUUGGGCAUUUCGUUAUAACCCCCCUCAAACUCAUCAUCUCUUUUUCAUUGUGGGACAGAACCACUGUCCCCACUACAUAAACCAUAAUUUAAGUAGCACCGUUGAAGUCAAAUUUUUAAUUCAUUGUAAGGAAUUUAACAACUAAUUACAUAUUCUUAAUCCUCAUAUGGAAGUGUAUCCACAGCCUUUUGAACCCACCAAAAAUGUGUGGGGGUCCCAUUUUAAGUAAGCCUCAAAUUAGGCAAAAUUAGGGGUUAGCACCCGAUUUUUCAACACAUGUCCAUCAACCCCCACUCAUUUUACGGUGGGUAGCGGGACCCUUCAAUUUAUUACUACUUUAUUAUCUUUUUAAAUUUUCCGUUUAUCAUAAUCAAGUGUCCGCCCAAAAUCCCUCCACAAAUUCUUCAAUCCAAAUACAACCUAAAGAAAAUAACUUUCGAAAUCCUUUUGGGUUUCUAAUUGUUCGAGGUAUUUUAAAUAUUGAAGACUAUGGAACAAAAGUAUAUAAGCCUAUCAUGGACAAGAAAAAAUUCAUCUAACAAAAUGUGCAUUACUAUAAAAAAAACAAUGUAACUAGUUCUCAGUGCUGAUCAUAAAUUUAUUGAAGAAGCUUCACUGACUCGUUCAAAAUCACAGGGCCUCUAGCAUCCACACCCUAAUAAAAUCCAAGUGAAAACCAAUUUCACACAGUUUGGAACUCCUAUAGGCAUGGUGUCUGAGAAACAGGAGAUUUGUUUAAUGAGAUACACAACUGAACAUGAAUCUGUGUUACAUAUUGCCAAGGAACCAUUAGACAUUAAUUUUGGAUAUCAUUGAGGAGGGAAAAAGAAAUUAAAAUAAAAAAUGUAGAUGAUCCAAUGGUCCUGAACAGUUGGAUCGUUUAACCUUUUCAUUUCCAUUUCAUUUUUCCUUGCCAAAUCUGUGAUCCAAACACAGUCUAAGGUGGAUAAAUGUGGAUUUCAAAUGAAGGGAUUUAACAUAAUUGUUCAAUGAGAAUAACUCAAGUUUAAAUAUGGGAGUUUGUGUAUGCAUUUCAACAUUGAGCUUUGAAGCUUUAUCACAACCAAUUUGAAAUGACUAUAUAAUAGGUGUGAUUUGAAUCCUUCAUGCUAAGAAUUUAUAGUUUUGCAAGAAAUAUAUCUCUUCUACUCUAGUUCCCGUACCACUCUAAAUUUCACACACACAGCCCUCAAUCUCUUCUAUUUUUAUUAAACCCGAACCCUAAUUCUUGAUUUGAAAUUAAUGUACAUUCAAAUGGAGGCCUAAUUCUCCAAGUCAGCAACUAAUUAAUAAUAAAGACCCAAGCCCCGUCCAAGGACCAUAUUUACAGAAAACAAAAAAAAAAAAACCAACUUAUAAAAAUCAAUGAAAAAUACGAACUACUUUUUUUGAUUUUCCUUUAUACAGUUGAGUUUCAAGAAAUGGCACUAUAAUGAAUCAGAACAACCACAUACAGUCACUACAAAGCAAUCCGUUUGGGAGUGUAAACUUGGUGGUUCAGAAAAUAGGAAACGUGGCCAUUUGGUCCAAAAGCCUUCAGCAUUUGGUCUAUAAGUGUCCUCGCAAUGCAAAUUUGGAUGAAAACAACAAAGAACAGUAACGAACACUACUGCUCCAUUACCCUCCUGUGACCCCCAUUUCGGGCAUAGUUUCUUCAACAACCGCCAAUUCCUCCCUUGCCCUACCAAUGACCAGCCCAAUCUGUCACAGGCAAAUCUUUCCCUCAUCUGCUAGAGCAACCGCUUCUUUCCAAUCACAAGUUCGAGGCGAACUCUCACCCCCCGAAGCUGUAAAACGUCGCUCCCGUUCACUUAGUUUUCCAUACAAAUCAUACUCUGGGGCCUCAUAACCUAGCAUUUCCAGCCAAAAACCCUGGUGCUCAAGUUGUGUCGUCUCCCUUGGAUUGAACUUUGCCAAGCAAAAAUCUGCCACCUUCAGCUCAAAUUUUCUCAUCCAAAAUUAAUAUGAUGACUUGAUCUUCAUGGUGACUGAUGCCCGGCUGUUCUAAGUGCAAGUAAGCAAACCCUUGAGCAUUUCCCAGAGCUUUCUUUGACGGAUUGGCCAGGGAAGUCCUCUUACCCCGAUCCAAAAAGAUGGUCAUAGUAGGCCUCCGUUUAAUGCAUCAAUCACACCACUCAUCCGCUGGUGGGCUUGUAGAGGUUCUGUUGCUGUGCAAUAACCUCUUAAAAAUUCACAAGAUUGAUGUGUUUGACACGGGCAAUGACCUCCAUUUCAUGUGCAAAGACCAAUUCCCACCAACAGAGGCAGUUCUUUAACUUUUACUGCAACUUCCGACCCGAUCUUGUAGUUUUUCCCCCCUAUACACAUUUCCAUACCCUCAAAAUUCUCUCUCCCUCGAAAGCUCAUUGUGGCAUUCCUGAUUUUCCUGACACUUUGUACAUACAAAUAGGCACUUGCACUAAUGAUUCGAGCUCCGCCACAAAACUAUUCUUCUUCUCUCUCCUCUUUCUUCGGGGCAGCCCACGUGAAAGCAACUCCGCCAAGCCUGCCCUGAAAUCCCAUAAGGAACCCCAUCAAUAGCACCAGGAUCGCAACACUGUGCCAGGGCCUUCUUGGGUGAGCCACGAGUGCGACAAAUGAAACGAAAACAAACAGCUUUUGGUAACCCUUAUCCGGUCGGCCCACAUCGAUUAAUCAAAGCAGCCAUAAAUAAAAAGCGGAUACCCAUACCAUCCGAGACAUUCUCAUCUUUUUUUAAGGCUCUCAGAUUGGCUUGAUUGACUUUCAAUUCAACAAAUAAAGUUGGUACACAAUGCACACUGAGAACCUUUCUGAAGCUGGUGAUUACAAUUUCCCUCAUAGCCUUCACUUUAGACUCCGAAUCAUCUCUCAAACUGGUUAUCCAUUGUGACUUCUUACCAGCCCGAAGACCCAUUCGGGGUGAUACCCACAAAGGAUUCCGAUGUUCGAAAUUCGGUACAAGUUCUUUAACUAAAGCCUGUAUACCCAACAAGCUUCGGAAGUGAUGAAGGGGGAAGAAAAUUGGCCGUGGGAUCGGAGAUACUCGGCUCAAAUCAUAACGCUUCCUUCAGAACGUACGGCAAAAGCCUUAGAUCGUCGACGAGUGCGGAUCCGAACUUCCGCGACGUUCACGAAGAACAUCAAAUUCACUGGUUCAGGAAUGGUCGGAACAGGAUUUUCAGCAAUCAAAGGGUUGCUCAUAAACAUUGAUGCUAAUGCGAGGAAGCUAAGUCCACACGGAGAGACAAUUUGGAAGCCAGGAGAGAGAGGAGGGUUGGCUCUGUCUUAGCAUCAGUUGGGUAUUCGACAGUUAGUGAGGGAUUGGGCGGCAGCAGAACCUUUGUAGCAGUCAUAUAACUAACUUUUUAGUAAUACGAGCAAUACUCUAAGCACUCCUGCUCUUGUACGUAGGUACUACGACCCUGUUUGGAUUAGGCUUUUUGGCUUUGGAUCAAGGUUUUGGUAACGUAAAAAUAAAUAAAACCAAAAAAAUAGAUAAUCCAAUAUUAUCAAUAGUUAGAUUGUCUAAAUUUUUUCAAUUAUAUUUUUUUUUCUCGUCAAAAUUUAAUUAACUUUGGAAAUUGGGGUUGUCCAAUCAAUAAGAAGUUUUAUUCCCUAGACACUUGAAAGUUUACUUAUAACCAUGUUGAUGUGUUUUUUUAAAUGAUUAAUUAGGAAAUGGCAUUAUUAUGGUCCUAGAAUUUAAAUUAAAUUUUUUAAAAAAAUUCAAAACGAAUCAUUCAAAUUUAUUUAGCUAUAUGUAUUUAAUGAAUCUGAACCAUUCAUUUUAACUUAUGCUAAUUUUUCUUGAUCUAAAUUUUGCUACAAGAAAUGAUGGUGAGUAUUGGGUUCGCAUUGUAUAAUGUAAUAAAUACGUAAAGUCGUAACUUAGUGUUGGUAAUUAUUUUUGGGAUUUGGCACUAUUUUUUGAACUUGGAUCCUAAAUAUCUAUUUACUGAUAUUGUUAUAUUGGGCCAAAGCAAUGUUCAUAAUAGAUAUGAUAUAGUUUGGCAUGGGCCAUGUUGGGUUUUGAAUAAUUGAUUGGGCCAGUGAGUUAUUAAUUAAGUGUUAAGUCCAUGAAAAAUAAGUGGGAGUUAUCAUUGUUAGUGUGUGAGUGAUACACCAUAUUAAAUUCCUUGAAGCUUCUUUGGCGCUUCUACCAUACAUUUUCCUUUUCACAAACAAAAAACCCGCGUACGUACACUUUCCCCCACUUUUCCUUUUCCUCUUUUCUUCCUUUUCUUCGGCUCUUCAAUGUGACGAAAAAGCUCCAAGGAGCUCCGACCAAGAAUGGCAUUUCCGGAGACUUUCCGGCUACAUCCGGCCUUCGGCCAAGCAUGAAAGUUGUUCACCUCUUCAGCUCUUCGAUUUCAACCGAUGGAUUGCGAUAAGGCUCCGUUUGGAUCUCCGUUUUUUGAAAUAUUGUUAUUCUUCGAGAGGUAGAUUGAUAUUGUUAUAAGGCCCUUAUCUUAAUUUCUUGAAUUGAGAGUGAUUUGUUUUUGUUAGAAGAAUAUGAAUGAAUAUUGGUAUUUAGGAAACCUAGAAAGUUUUACGUUUAGGCAACCCAUUAGUAUAGUUUUAAUAAAUGCAUACUAAGUGUUUGAUGAAGUGUUUUGAGAACGAAAAUGACCGAAAUUGAACUUACAUGUUUUUAGUGUUAAUCCAAACUUUUUGGUUGUUAGUUGUUUUGUAGAAUGAAAUUUGGCCAGUUUAAUAGGCUAGGAUGUUAGGGAUAUUUUUUUGUGAUUUGAUAGUAUCUAAUGCUAAAGUGAACUAUUAGAUUAAUGUGAACUUUAAAUAGAUAUUGUUUCAUUGAGAUUAUAUAUAUCGAUAUAUAUAUAUAUUGCGAUAUAGUAUGCUUAAAGUAUGGAUUAUUGUCUAUGGCAUUGAGUCAUGGACCAUAUCAUAGCAUCAUUGUGGCUUAUUACAUGACUGGGCGGGAUACAAUGAUGAAGUAUGGCCACAUCAAGAAAAAACACAUCUUGUGGCCUUUUAUCGGCUUGUUACAUGACAUUGGGCGGAUACAAUGUGGAGGUACUUCCCCUAGGGAAGGGUACCAAGGUUUUGAACUUGCGGAUGUGGGUCUGUGUGGUUGUGAGGAAAAGGGCGGAUGACUCCCUAAUAAACAUUCACUCAAAUCUUUAUCGGUAGCUUCCGGGGAUUGUUUUAUAUCUUUGGGUGGGUGGCCCAUAUUCCGGUUGUUUGUGAGAGGGUGUGUUACAUUGGGAGGGGACCUAUGGCAUUUAAGUGUAUGGCAGUUAUAUUGCCUUGGUGGCAUACAUCAUUGCACUUCAUUCAUCUCGGAUUUUAGAGAUAGUAUGAAUUUUUACAAAUUAUUCACUCAACCGUCGUGCUAAUCAACACAAAAAUAAAAACAACUUUAGGUGAAACGAUAAGGGCAAGGGCCCGCUUACCUGACGUGUUCGGGUCAUUUUGAAGAUGUCUUCGAACUUAGCUUCAUGGAUGUUUUGUAGUUUUAAACUGAGAACAUAUCAUUCUUUUGGUAAUUUGAAACCUUAGGAUAGAGUUUGAAUUUACAUUUGUUAUAUGUAUCUAUGAUUGGCCGUGUUAGCCAUUUUAGUUUCAAACAUGGGAAUGAAUCGUUUUUUAAAUUAAUGUUAUUCGGACAGUGUUAGCCAUUUGAAUUGGGUAUUGGUCUAUCGGACUUUGAAUAAUCGGUUUGAUGAAUUGGAUUAGACAGGGAAAUGUGGUCCCCAUGUUGGUGUGUUGUGUUGAUUGAAAAUCUUCGAGUUUUCUUUCUUCUUUAUUCGCGUGUACUAAGAGCUUUGGACUUUUCAACAGGUGUGCCAGUAGGACAUUUUUCUCUCUUUAUUUACGCACUUGUGAUUGGUCCACGUGGACCUUUUCCGCAUUAGUGACUUGUUGACCUUUUUUAUCAACCGUGGAGGAAUUCGGGGCGCGACAGAACUCUCUUCCAAUAUUUACCAUCGCAUGAUAGACUUCAUGUGUGUUAAAUUUGAGUAGCAAAUAACCUAUAAAUAUAAGGACUCACCAAACCCAUUUAAUCAGUGGUGUAUUCGCUAUCCAGAAAGGAACAAGUCAAAUGUGAGAGUAUUGACGGAGUGCUAGCUAGGACUGUGCCAAAUGUCGAGAGUUUUAUUUCUUAAAGACAUAACAUAUCCAUGCUCCGCGGGGCUAAAUUGUAUUAUAUUCUGAUAAAUUUGUGUUACAUAUUAUUUUUAAAUGAUAGAGGGUGUAUAAUCUCUCAAAUGGUUUGACGAUUGGUGGUAGCAUAAAGACAGAGUUUCCCGAAGAAGACAAUAGCCAGAGAAUGAAGAAAAAGUUCCAUAGCGGAAAACCACAUUCAUGGUUCUGGCUUGUUAAGUGGAAAAAUUAGCCAAAAUAAUUGACUAAACAUUAAUAUCAAGAGUUUACCCCUUCAUCAUGAUCUGCACAAAUUAAGUAUAUUGAAGACAUUUUCUUUAGUACAUGGGUCCCAUGGAUUUCUUUUUUUUUCUCUGUCAAUAAUGAAUGUUCAUCUGUGAAAAAAAAUAGAGAGAGAUAAUGGUUUGGCUCGAAUUGAAUGAUAGACGACUAAUUUUGUUCCCCUGGUGCAAUGCCCAACGCCUUUCAAAGUCGCAACAUGUUCACGUAAGAUUCACCUUUAAACGAAAGGGACCACGUAAUUGAGUGAUGAGAACCGUGAAGGGUGUUGGUGGCAAUUUUUUUAAUUAUUAGAAAAUAAAAAAAUAUUUUUUUCCAAAAAAAAAAACACGAAACUCAAAUUAUUUCAAAAUACUCAAAUUGUUUCAUUUCGAUUUUUUUUUUCUGUCUUUUAUUUUGAAAAAAAAAAACUUAUUCUUUUUAUUUUUUUGAUUUUCUCAUGAGACAAAUAAAAAACUAAAAAAUCUUAAAAACAAAAUAUAAUUCAAGCUCCAAGAUAUGCAUUUGACCAAACGUUCAAUAAUUGGACAUGAAGCUCUAAUUAACCAAGGUCAACUUUGGUUGAUAGCCAAUACAUUUUUACCUAAAUAAUUAAAAAAAAUCAUAAGAUAAAAAUUAAAAUGUUAAAUGAUAAUACCAAACAAUCCAGAAUUACCAAUAUUAUUUGAAUAGUUGUUUGGACUCUGACUUUACAUAAAUGACAUAUCACAUUCUCAGCGUUGUUGAAGUUCAAUGGACAGAGGAUCAGAUCAGGGGGUGGAGUGUUUUGUUUCAAGCAUGUUAGUGGACUUUGAAGAAGAACAAUACUGAUUCCAAGGAAUCUUUCUGUUGAUGCCUAAGACUUUAAUGGAAUGACCACAUUUAAUGAAAAUUCAACCAUGAAUAGGGAGAUGCAUCUUGGAAGUUCUCUUUUUUGUAUAUUUUGUUUGGAGGUUCAAGACAAAGACAUAUAAAUGAAUAAUCAAUACAUCAGUGGUAACCCAAGUUUACGGGGCAUAUGAUUUAUCAUCAAAAAAUGAAAUGAAUGGAGGAGCAAUAUCACUAUUUUGUUUCAAUUAGAUACAAAGUGAUGAUUGCUUAUUUAAUCACCAGAACAAUUGCAAGAAAUCCUUUGAUAACACGGAUUCCCUAUUUCUCAAUGAUAUCGUGGUUGAAUCCGUGAAAAAUGGUUUCAUAGCAGUUAAUUAAUUUCUUUUAUAAGCAAAUAAAACUUCAAUUCUCGAAUAAUCCACAUCACUUCAACUUCUAUUGUAACAAAAGAUUCUAAUUUAUGUGGAAAACACCCGUAUCAAUAAUUAUAAUUUUACAUAUGGACAAUUCCUCAAUAUUUUGUUUAUUCGCAACAUGUGAGCCUACCCAACUGUAUGGUCCAUUGUACAGUUUCAGUUUCUUUCUUAAAUCUUUUCAUAAUGCGUUUGACUGGAGAAUUUAAAUGAACUUUUGAAGAUCAAAACUGCACAGUAUAAAGCAGCCACAACGGUCAUGAUCUUGACAAUAACGGUUUUAUAAUCCAACAGUCUAGAAUAUUGUGAUGAAAUUAUAAUCCUUUGUACAAGAAAGGCUGCUCAUAUUGCAACUACUCACGUUCAAGCCAACCAAUUUUGAAAAUUAGAAUGGAUACCCAAACUGACAAGUUCUCUCCUCCCACACUGUAUACAUAAACAUUUUAAUCACCACCUCCCAGAUGAUAGGAGUAUCAUCCUAUAAGCCGAAUCAAAGAAAGCCUCUAAAAGGAUCUUGGGUAAAUCAGUCAUGCGACCCCCAUCCCUCUCAAAUCACCACUUCCUCUUCAUUUUAGAGGGACUAAGCUUUGCAAGUAUUAGCUGUCUAAGACAAUGGCAUAAUCCUCCUUGUCCAAUUAAAAUUUGAGUUAUUUUUUCGUAUGCGGAAUUACAAAAUCACCAGACCAGGCACCUCCUUGACAUUGAGGCCGAGGUCAGAUCAUUUUGCUAGGAACGAGGGUAGAAUUCGGUCAGAGUAUCUUCGAGCUACGGGGUACUUCAGCCUCUCUCCGAGUAUUUCAGAGGCUUGUUGGGAUUCAUUGCAGGCCUUAGUUUACCACCGGUUAGAAGGAUUCGAUAUGUUCGAUCCACUUGUGGGGUUCAGCAGCGGAUAUCAAAAAGUUUGUUUGGAUAUCAAUACCAGGCAAGAGUUAGGAGGCCUUAAUUCCCAAAACACGCAUUGGAGAGAGUAAGCGUUUGUAUCAACCCAAAACCUUGGGAGCAGUUCUACUGUCAGUCUUGUAGGGCCACCGGUCGUGUUUGCAGUAGCUUAUUUUCAGGCCAUGACGGAAUUUCUGGAUUUUUUUGGGAUCCAUAUCUGUAUGCUGCAGCUUUCGCUAAUCGAUUUGCCCCACGACUCUUGGAGACAACCAAGUGCCUGUUCGCGCUUGAUCGAAAUUCAUAAGUAAACACGAGAAGAAACAUUGUGUGGUGUUCGGAGUGACUAGCGCCGUGCGUGAUAGGCUGUUGGCAAUGGCUUUUCGGAGCCAUUUCUGUGUUUGUUUCUUGGAGACAGCAUAAGAAUUAAAAGAGUGAAUAAGAAAGGUUUGGUGGGGUUGGGAUAUCGUGAAUGUUGAAAGGACUACUUUGGUCAAGUUCACAUUGGAACAGAUAGGAGGCUUCAAUGAAUUUUUAUCGAAAAAAAAUCUCAUUGGAAAAGGGGAUAUGGAAUGUCUUCAGAGGGGUGUGCAAAUGGCCUCUCAAGUGCAUUGAAAAGGUUCAAAAAUUCUGCUGUUCGGGAUGCGAGUUUCAAACCACGAGGGGGUCGAGGUCAUUGCAGGUGUUAGACACGGAAAUCCUUGUGGUUAAAGGCUAUAUUGCAUGGAACCAGAUCCUCAUGGUAGGCCACAGCGAAUCAUUGUGUGUGAUCUGAUGCAGAAUGGGAAAGCCGCUAUGGACAAUCUGUUUGGCUUUGGGGAGACUAUAAACUCCACCUGCCCAAUUGUCGCAAGAUAGCCCUGGAACAGACGCGGGUUGGAUAUUACACAAUGGAGCUUCAAACAGAUAUUAGGACCCAUGAGAUGUCAAAUCAAGUAAAUCUUUUGGAUGAGACUUUGAACCGAAAACUUGCAGAUUUCGGCUUCGCAAGUUUACUCCAGAUGGGUUUCACUUAAGCACUAAAACUGCGCUGGUACCCUUGGUUACGUAGCCCCAGAAUAUGCUUUGAUGGUCAAUUAAGAGAGGAAGUGUUGUCUAAGUUUUGGAUGUGCUCCUGAGAUUUUGAGCGGGAAACAAGCGUUUUGGCCGUUGAAAAACAGGGAACAUUGUUGUUGAUAGAUGGGCUUGCGUCACUAGUGCCAAAAAGGCCAAUCAUUGGAUCUUAUUGAAGAAGGCACUCCUGAUAUGGCACCACCCGAAGUAAUGGAGAAAGCUAUUUGUUUUGUUGCUGUUCUAUUGUGCGAUCCUACAUUACCAUGCCAGGCCCACCAUGGACAGAUUGUGAAUUUUAGAAAUGGGACACUACACCGGUUUAUCUGAUCCCAGAUCACCCGAGUUCUAUGAUUGAAAAUGAAAAUGAUAUUGAGAGAUCACUGACCCGCAUGGAUUUGGGUUCUAUAUCUUGUGCCGAUCAAUGACUACAUCUCGGGGAGUGGGCCAUCGAGGGAGGAUCUGUGGGAAAAAAAAAAAUGAGGAAUCGUUGUCAGACACUUGUGAGGUAAAAUUUUUCUAUGAUACAUUGGGCUUUCGUCGAAGUCCAACUUUUCUUGUUUGGCUUAAAAGAAACUUUUGAUCAAUGUCUUUUACUCUAAGCGGAUUUUUUGGCAUCCUUCUUUGAAAAGAAAUUAAGGUUUCUGUGUAUGCUUCCUAGUUACAGUAACCCGUCAUUUCGCGUGUUUGCUCAAGUAUUAAAUUUCAAUAAAUGGCAUUAAUUGGAAGAAAAUUCAAUUGUAGUCUUGCAAGAAUUGAAAAUUUUGGGAAAAUUAAUUGAAACAAAACUUAACAGACAUAACUAAAACCUAUCUAAAAAGCCCCUUUAAUUUAAAAUUCUACAACAAGAUAAUUUAUACAUAUCAAAAGCAUAAAUUAAUCUCAUAUAGUUGAUAAUAAAGUUGAUAUAAAUUUUAUGAAACUUAUUCAAGAACAGAAUUGCUUUGGGCGAGUAGCUUCGACUUUUAAACCCUAUAUAAGUAUAAGAGCCAAGUGAGCCGAACCUUAAAAAUAACAAAUUUCAAAAAUAUGUUAAGCUUGAUUUGUCGCAUAACAAUUCGAAUUACAUAAAAAAAAUUAACGAGCCGCAACAUGAACUCCAGCAAGUAGGUUGGUUCGAUUUACAGUAGAAAGUUUCUUGCAGGCUUAUAAAUCAUAUUAGCAAUUAGGGCUGCCAAACACCAGAAGGUACUGGGUGCUUUCAAUGUGUAUUGGUGCUUGUGUCUGGCCAAUCUAGUCCAAGUUUUCAUAUGGGCAUACAUCUGGGGAACAAAUAAAAAAACAAAAGUGUCAUUACAAAUCAUUUACUGGGUUCCUAACUCCUCCAAGUCCUUUCAUGUAUAUCAAAUUCCACCUUCAUUUUGCUUCCAACAGUUUCUGAGUAGGGUCUUGUUUGUUCAGUUCCACCUAGUCGACUGGACAGUCAUCUAGGUCAACUCAUCCAGGUCUCAGGUUAAAUGAUUGAGUCACAGAUUUUCUACCUCUCUAUGUACACAUUCACAUGAAACGGUUAAAAUCAAGUAAUCAGUAAUUGUACACUGCAUACCUAAUUGUGUGGAUGAUUAUAAUAACGAUUGAGAUCAUGUGACUACAAUUAUCAGUUCAAUAUGAUUUUUUUCCAGCGAAUGAUGUACACAUGGGGCCAUAAUAAAACUGCUCAAAUCAUUUGAGCGUUAGACCCGGAGGGGUUUGCUAGCUAAAUUAACCACUGUAAGACUAUAAUGAUUAAUAAACAACUAUUGCCACUCAACCGAUUGUACGCAACAACAAUGGUUAAAUGAAUAAGCAUUAGGGAAAAUUCUAGAUAGACUUCAUAUCGUCUCCUAGGCAUAAUUAUGGUAGGAGUAGUUACCCGGUUAUUCCAAAGUUAUGUUUCUAGCUAGACGUGUGACGAUUCGAGUAGUAGGAUGCAGUGAAGAUCUCAUGAAAGCCUCAAUAGAAAAAAUGCUUCAUUGAGUCAUAGACUUCUUGGAGACAGGUUUAAAAUUCAAUGCAAUUUAAUUAGUGGAUACGGGUUAUGACUCAAAACUGAUUUUUCAUAUUUUAACGAUCUACACACAUCGACCCAAAAGAUGACUCCUGAACGGAUCAUGUUCAAAAUGGCCUACUCUGGGCCUUAAACGCCAACGGAUGGGAACAAUCAACGGAAAAUGAUUGACAGCUGAGCCUUAACAUUACAUUGGAUCAAUAUCAAUCAGGCAUAUAGUUGAAUUUGUUUCCCUUGCAACUGUUAAUAAUUCAGUAGAACUUUGAGGGAUCACAACUAUUGACAUGAAACAAAGAGGAGACAAGUUCAUGUACCAAAAGAACAGAAAAAGAAUAACAGAGACUGGUCAAUUAAUAUUCAGACAUCAGGAAUUUUAGUCAAGUCAUGAUCACGGCUGUGGUCUACACUCAAUGGUGUUAGAAUUUUUGAGGAAAAACGGGAGGAAACAUGAUCAACGACCAUGGAUCUACCCUCCAAGUUUAAAAUUGUUGAAGAAACAAGGAGGAAACAUGAUUCAACGUGGGGUCUCACUCCAAUGGUUAGAAUUGUUGAUGAAAACAAGAAGGAAAGGCUGGCUUAUUUUCCAAAUAUUUCACCUUAAUAUCAUCCAAAUUUGAAAAUCAGGGGAAAGGUCGUUUAAUUUCAAGAUCAAGAAGCAGAUUUCUCUACCCAAAACCAAAGAAAGCCAAAGGGAUUGGGAGGAAAAUCAGUCAUCAUGAGACUCCCAUCCCUCUCAAAAUCCCCUCUUCCUCUUCAUUUUACUGGUCUAAGCCUUUUUCAGAUUAGCGUUCUACGAAACUGGCUUCUAAUCUUUUUGUCAGUAAACUUUAAUAUUCUUUGGGAGAGGAAAAACCCAAAUAAUCCAGAACCAGGUACCUCCCUUGACAUUGAGAUGAGUGUCAUCUCAUUUUGCAGGACGAGGGUAGUUCACUCAGAGUAUUCUUCGCCUCUCUCCAAGUAUUUUAGAGGCUUUUUGGUGACUCAUUUUAGCCUUAGAACACCGCGGAAGGAUCGAUGUCGAUCCACUUUGGGGUUCCGACCAGCGGUCUAUCAAAAAAGUUGUUUGGAUAUUGUAAGGGUGUGAUGAAGAACUUCGUGACAUGUUAUCUUUCAUAUAUGUUGGGAGUUGAAUAACAAGCACAAGCAUUGAAGAUUCUUUACCAAGUAUUUAGAAGCAUUCACAAGCAUUCAGACGGUUUUCAUGCAUAUUCUGCAAGCUCGGGCUAGAGAGGAUUGUAUGUUUCUGAACAAGAUUUUCCAGCAACUUCAAGCUUAAUUUGCUAUUUUAGCGAUCGAUUCAAAGCCACUACUUAUUAUAUCAAGUUGUAUCCCUGAUGCCUUAUUCUUCCAACGAAAUUAGUACAUCAGAUCCAAACGGAAUCGGAAGUAACAGUAAAAAGUAGUGUAAAAAGUUAGCCUAAACUAUUGAGAGCUGACCAGAUCUCGCGAGACGGUAGCGGGACAGUCGCCAGGGAAGGAUACUGAGAGCUUGAAUGGUCAUAGGGACUCUGAAGACUCUCGCAUUGCGAGCGAGAAUGUGACGACUCGCAAUGUUGUUGAAAAUAGCGGUUUUUUUAGGGGUGUUAGACUGAAUUAAAAAGGCCAGAACACUUCUAGACCUAAGUAGGUCGUGUUAUCAUUAUAACCUAGAGAAAAAUUUCACUACAAAAAAGCUCAGAAACGAAUGUGGCAAAAUCUUCAUCAACAAUAUUCAAGAAACCAAAAUCCUUGAAGGAGUUCAAGGUGUGAAUCCGUUCUAAGGGGAUCUGAAUGGCGAUCACGCAUGGUGAGGUAAAUAGUGGAUUACGAGCUAGAUUUACACACUUAUUAGAUCAUGGAGGGAUAGGUUUUGAUUGUUUGUAGAGUCUUGUGUUAACUGUGAAACUCGGCUUAUAGUGCAUGUCUUUAUCUCAAGCGAGUGGAACACGCGGUUUUUUCUCCCAUCAGGGUUUUCACGGAUUAAACGUCUUGUGAUAUCUUGGUUGAUUGGUUUUUGCUUCUUUUUAUAGCUUGGAUGUUCAAUAUGCUCAUAAUCAAAUAUUUGUGAUUUUAUAUUGUUGUUGAGAAUUCUCGGUUAACCAUAGACAAAAGGCGUAGUUGUUGUUCAGAUAUGCAAUACCAGGCAGCGUUCGAGGCCUUAAUUCCCGGAGACGAAUUGGAGAAGUAAGUUAGUUGUGAACCAAACAUGGGAAGCAGCUCUACUUGUGAAUCAUGUAGAGCCACAUUGUUGUAUAUGCAAGUUGGCCCAUAUUGUCAUGUCCGUUGACGGGGAAUUUCUCGGAUGUUUUUGGUAUUCCUAUCGUAUGCUGCCGCUUUGCUAAUUCCGAUUUGGCCCCCACUGACUGGAGACAACCAGAAGCUGUUCGCGGGCUGAUCUCAUCCUCAUCUAAACAUGUAGAAAAAUUUGUUUUGGUGGACUGGCCUCAUGACAGGCUGUGCAAUUGGCUUCUUCGGGGGGUUACUUUCUGUUGUUGGUUUUUUGGAGACGGAUCCCCAUAACAUAAAAGAGAGAAAUAAAAAAAGACUUGGCGGGAUAUGGAUCAUUCGGUGUGAAAGGACUACGGUGGUCAAAGUUCAAUUGGAACAGAUGAAGGAGGCUUCUUCAAUGACUUUUUCUAGAAAAAUAUCCAUUGGAAAUGGAGUGAUAUGGGAACAGUCUUCCAGAGGGGGUAGCAAAGAGGCACUCAAGUUGAACUUGAAAAGGUUCAAAAAUGGUGUGUUUCGGAGAUGAGAGUUGCACACAGGAGAUAUAGAGGUUAUUGCAGGUGUUUUUAACACGUAAACAUUGUGGUUAAGAGGGUAUUGCAUGAAACAGAUCCUCUGGUAGGCCACAGGGACUAAUCGUGUGUGAUCUGAUGCAGAAUGGAAGCCUCUCACAACCAUAUUUUUGGCUUUGGGGAUGUACUAAGCUCCACUUAGGCCGAUUCCAUCGAAAGAUAGCCCUUGGAACAGCACGUGGGUUGGCUUAUUACACAAUGGAGCUCAACUUACUAUUAUGCUUAGAGAUGUCAAAUCAAGUAAUAUAUUUUGGAUGAGACAUUGGAACCGAAACUUGCGAUUUCGGCUUCGCUAAGACGCCAGAUGGGGGUUUUCACAUUUAGCACUUAAAUUCGCUGGUACCCUUGGUUAAGUAGCCCCGAAUAUGCUUUGUAGGGGCCAAUUAACAGAGAGAAGUGAUGUCUACAGUUUUGGGAUAGUGUGCCUUGCGAUUUUGAGCGGGAAACAAGUGUCUUGGUCGUGAAAUAAGGAAACAUUUGCCUAUUGACAGAUUGGGCUUGGUCAAUGUGCAAAAAUGCCAAACCCUGGAUUGUUAGCAAGAAGCAUGUCUGAUAUGGCAGCACCGAAGAAUGGAGAAAGGGAAAUCAAUUUUUGUACUGUUCUUUGUGCUCAUUCGACACAACAUGCUGGGCCCACCAUGGAAAAGUUGUGAAGAUUUUAGAAAACGGACUUUACAGCUUUAUCUUCAUCCCAGAUUGCCGGGUUCUCUGAUUGAAAAUGCAAAUGAUAUUGAGAGAUCAUUAUCCGCAUUGAUUUCGGGUCUAUACUUGGUGUCGAUCACGGCUAAUCUAUUCUAGGGAGUGGCCCAUCCCGGUUGGCCACUCGGAAGAGGAGGAAUUUCACUUCACUUGAGAUGUGAAAUUUUUAUUGAUACAUUGGGAUCUGUCUGCGAGACACUAAAGACGUUUGGAAUUGAAAACUUUGUUUGGCUUGCAGAAAACUUUUGGUCAACUCUAUCUUUUGAUCUAAGCUUGUUGUUUUGGGAGUGUAUUUUGAUAAGGAUUAUCGUUUAUUUCUUAUUCAUCGUUUACAGUUGUUUGCUUAUAAAAGAAACGUCAAUUAAUACAUACUGGAAGAAAGAAAAGAAAUUAAGAAAAGUUGGCAAUGAAGCCAAAGAAACACUUGACUGACCUAACUAUAAACACAUCUAAAAUGCCCUUAGUUUUACAGAAAAAGGUCAUGAAAUCUUGUACACGCAGAGAUUCAUACAUAUUCCAAAUUACUGUUGAUAAUAGUACGUUUAAAUUUGGAAACUUUUUGGACUUGUUUAAGAACAGGGAUUGCUUUGGCCAUCCUGGAGUCUGCUGUAUUGUUAUGAAAUGGGAUGGGUUGAAGCAUCUUAAAAACCAAAGAGAUUAGACGUGAAUUUCCGGUUUCUGGCGAGCAUAGUGGUUUUAGUUUAAACCAACAAGGAACGAUUCGCAAAAAAAGGAGAAAUAAAAUUAAAUCAACAAAAAAAUUGUAGACAAAUCAAAAGUUAAAGCCACACGACUAAUAACCUUAUAACUCUUGUCCUUUUCUCAUGCAUCUUUAAUUUAUGGUUUAAUUGAGGAAACCCUAAUGAUUGUUCCAUGUGCAGUAGUCUUCGUCGAAGACAACCUAUUUUUAAAAUGUGAAAGGAUUUAUUCCUAUGAAAUUACAUUUUUUUUGGUAAUAGGGCUAGCGUGUAAGAUAAUAAAAGAACAUUACGCAAAGCAUACACCUACGUUCUCAAUGGGCAGACCCUAGGCACUACAGAAAACAGCGCAGCCAAACAAAGACAAUCUCUCUACAAAAAUUUUGUUGUGCCUUAGAAACCGAACUAAAAAACCCCCAUGCGCAGAAAACAAACAGUGGCACACACAGAGACAAAAAAUUUAUGAGGUACAGCAACUGUUACGUCCAUGGUGUGGUGCAACGAUUCACUACUGCAAGAAGAUUGUUCUAGAUUACAAAACACAUGGUAUCUCACUCCUCACUGUGGUCUGAUGGUGGAGAAAGCCACACGCCCCUCACAUACUUUUACCUCCACUUAGAGAGUACAAAACACAUUGCUCUUUGUCUUUUUCACAAUAUGUAGAGUGCCUGUACAGAGGGAUUAUAGGCAAAAAUGUAACAACAAUUUAGAGCGAUAGGGCCAUCCUAGGAGCCAAAAGCUCAUUGUCAAGGAGCAACUAAACUGGGAGAGGAGUUGAUCUUGGGAAACAAAUGGGUCAAAAACCCUUUGGAACUUCAACAUGAAGUUAAGCCAAAUCCCAACAAACAUUUAACUUGACACCCCCACAAGUCAGGAAAGCCAACACGCAUUCAAACUCCAUACCAGGAAAGGGGAGGACAAAAACCUACCUAGAAAAACAAGUGCCCUAAUAAAAUUAUGGUCCACAUGAUGUGGUAUAUUGACUUAUCAUGAUAGCGAUCAGAUAUAUUUAUUUGAAUUUAUCAGUUAGGGGUUCUUAUUAUAUUUCCAUAUAAGGUUCAUUCUAUAGUCAAAAAAAGAGAAGUUGUUUUCCACUACAACUACCUUGUGGGUUGGUAGAGUUUAAGUCUAAUAAGGAACGUGGUUAUCUCUCUGCUUAUUAAAUGUAAUGUAUCCCAUCAUAACGUGUAAUUAGAUUAAAGUCCAGAGAGAGGAAAACAUAGUUUGCUAGAAGAUUACGAGAUAUAAAGUCAUCAAUUGAAAGGAUUUGCUCUUAUGGUACAGGUAUGUUUUAUGUAUUUCUGUUUAUUAUAAUAUGGGAAAAACCUGAUGUUUUAUUAAAUCUUGAAUUUAUAGUUUUUGAUAAAAUCUAUGAAUUUAGAUUAACAUGUGAUAACAAAGCAUUAGGGUUACGAAGAUCAUGAUUUUUUCGUGAAAAUAAAUAUAUUGUGUAGAUGACUUAUCAUACAGAACAAUAUGGUCCAAGUUCCAACCACAAGAGUCGUUAUUUGACAUAUUAGGGGGACAAUUCGCAUCUUUCGAGUAAAAAGACUUGAUGUUAAAAAAGCAGAGCGAUAAGUUGAAAACACGAGGUCAGAAACCCUCGAGGGCCAAGAUGAAAACACUGGUAAAGUCAUAAUACCAGUGUUAUAUUAUUGUGACAAAAAAAAUAUGCCUUGCCUUUCAGUGAUGUGCCUUGGCUUCAGUUCUUUUAAGAACUACUUGAUGCAUAUAUUGUAUGUCUCAUUUUUCCAUAAAGGAUUUGAUUUGUCGAUUCUUAAAGGCUAGUUCAGUUGAUCUCAAUCAACUAUGGAUCUACGCAAAUUUGGUGAUAAGGAUUCUGAAAAAAAUACGCACUCUUAGUAUUUCUUAUCGAUUAUACUAUAUGUAAAAAUUAUGAUAGUUCAAAGAUUCUGGAUUAUUAUGAGUUGUUAAUCAAAAACAACAUAUUAAGAUAUUUACAUGUGAUAUCAUAUAUAUAUAUAUAAUUGGAUAUGGACAAACAUGAUUUUGUUUUAAAAAAGCUUAAUAAUAAAAUAUAUUGAUGUUAGUAUGAUUAAUUGUUGAAGCUGCUACUGCUGCUAAUGGCCUUUUUAAGACCCAUGAAUAAUUAGUUGGGCCUUCUAAGGACCCCUUAUGUAAAUUAAUGGGUAUUUGACAGCAUAUGAUAACGAUAGCUCCUCAAUAACCUAAUUGAAAUGGGCUCUUUAAAAGACACCGCUAAUGGGCUCUAAAAAAAAUGAUGGAAUUCUACGAAAGAUUCUUUAUGACUUAAUAGACUCUUCAUGACUUAUGGUGAAAUAAUUGGGCUCCCUAAUUAGAUCUCGUGAGGUAAUAGCCAAAAAUAUUAAGGCAAUGGCAAGGUUCAUUAUUUAAUUUAACAUAUAUAUUAUGACAUAGUUGGAGCUGCCAAAGUGGUCAACUAAAAUGACUCAGGAGUAUCAAAUUAUACCAAUUGAAUUUAAUAUACUUACAAAGUAUUAAAAAAAGGACAUUGCAUCGCAGUUUUAAUCACAAGAAUAUUAGGUUUGACCCAAAGGUUGCACUACUUUUCAAAGGUUCAUUACUGGAAAUAAGAUGAUUGGUUAUAUUCCCUAGUGAGAAUAGAAUAAGGCCCAAGGAUAAAAACUUACCUAAUAUAGAUAUAAAAAUUUAUCGUCUUAUUAGGUGAAUGGGUAUCACCAUAAUGUUAAAGUAAAGGGUUAUGUCAUGAUUAACUACCCAAAGGAGAAUCUAAGUUUAAUACAAUUCUGCUUAUUAGAAUAUGUACUUUAUCUAAACUCAUGAUUAAUUUGCAAAUUACUCAGAGUUACUAAGUAGUAGCAUGGUAUAUAUUUAGGUUAGUUCUUAGUUGUUUUUUAAGUUCGCCCACUUCAAAUUUUGAUUCUAAACGGAAUAUGUCAAAUGAGUGAGCCUUCUCUUCUUCCCGCAUCGUCCCUCCAGCCCCUUCAUUCUUUCUCUUUGCUAACCUACUCCUGCUCAGGCCCCCUCUUCCCCUGUGACACACCCCCUCCAUCUUUUUCCAUCUGUCUGUCCACCACUCGUCGGCGCCCCUUCUGCUCUGCGUGGGCCUUUUCUGCGUCCCGUUCUUGCAAAAUCUUAGACCUUAACACCUGUCAACUGCAGAAUUGGAGAGAUGAUGGAAUACAUUCUUUAGUAUGCAGUUAAUUGAACUCAUUGUUUUUUAGUAUGAGUUAUAUAAAAAUUAACUAUGACAAUAUGAAGAUUAAGGAAAUGAUAAUUAAUGUCCAUUAGUUUUUAUUUAGAAGAGGGAGAUUAAGUAAUUCUGACAAUAUUAUCACUUCAUGAAGCCUAAAAUGAUUGUUUGUUAGAGUUACCUAUUAUUCACGUAUUCUAAUAGAUACGAGGGAUUAUUUACUAAAAAAAAAAAUUAAGUUAAGUUGAUAGGACAUUUUUAAGUGGGCUCAACUGAUGUGGCACAUAUGACUUAUCUAAUAUGAUCAGACUAUUAUGGGGUUUUAUCAUGUUAGGAUUGUUUAUUCAAUUCCAUAUAAACCUUCAUUCUAUGGGUAAAAGAAGGAAUUGUUUCUUAAUAAACUACUUGAUGGGUUGACAUUAUUUACGUCUAAUACGGAAAAUUGGUCCUCUUCUGUCAUAAUGUGACAUGUAUCACAUCAUUAAUGUGUACUUAAGAUUAAGGGUCAAAGAGAGAGAAACCGUUUUAAGAGAUUAAUAAAGAUAUUGAAGUAAUCAUUAUAAAAGUUUGCUAUUAUGGUCUAUAAGAAUGUUUAAGUAUUUCUGCUUAUUAUAAAAUGAAAAACCCAUGAUUGUAUUGAUCUUGGAUUUAUAGUUAUGAUGAUGAAAUCUAUGAAUUUGAUUAACACAGGGAAGACAAAACCUACCUAGAAAACACGUCCCAAAAAAUAAAAAGACGACUGAAGACAGACAAAAUAGGCAACAUGAGCCUAAAAUGGGCAGCCAUCAGUGGCCCCCAAACAACAUAGCAGCACAAGCAAAUUGCAUGCAAAACCCACCUUCAAAACUGCAAAACCAACAAACAGAUGAGGCCGAACCGCCGGCAAGUAUAGCAAAUCAAGCCAGAAAGCAAGGGGGAAAAAAAUCGCACAGUACACAUUCCGACAGCCUUAAAGAAGCAACAAUAAGGGUCAAUCCAAUCACGAGCUAAUGGAAAAACCCAUCAUACCUGGAGGCUAAGACAUGAACACUGCAUAUCCCGCAAUGGGGUAGGAAAACAAAUAUCACACAACUAGCAAUAGCCAUUUGAGCAGAUACGAUUACGAACGCUUAAUGACAACAUUAAGGACAUCAAACCACUACAAAGUGGGAACACAAGCCUGUCCUUACAGGGCCAUACAACCCAUUCACUUCACAUUUGAAAAAGAAAAAAAAUAGAUUAAAAUAGAUGAAAGAAAUAAACUCACUAUUUUACCACACUCCUCCAAACCUCUCACUGCACCUCACAUGAUGUCCCCACUAGGAUUACAAUGAAACCCCAUAUUUUAAUUUGAUUCGACUGCGUUUGCAAAACAAAGAUAGACCUGCUUGACUCUUGAUUUUUAAGUCCACCAAGAAGUUAGACAUAAAGAAUGCGAAUUUUGAGAGAACAAAACUUGGUUGUAAAACUAUUAUUCAAAAAACUCAAUCCAUUGGAUUUACAUUGGCAACGGGUUUAUGAUUUUUCGUUCCAAGAGUGCACUCUACAUUAAACUUCAGAGUCCAUCUGUUAGUUUUAAUUGAAACCCACUCUUAAUUAACAUUUUAAAAUACAAAAAAAAAUAUUUGUAAAUAUAGAUAGAUAGAUUAAAAUUCAGAGAGUCGCAAUCUUUUAUUUUUAAUUGAAACCCACUCUUAUUACAUUUUAAAUAACAACAAAUAUAUUUGAUAAAUAUAGAUAGAUAGAUAGAUAGAUAGAUGUUCCAACAGAACUCGCAUUCAAGACCAAUAAAUUUGCAAAUUAGUCAUACAGUUUGAAAACAUCCCAAGGUUCCUCCCUCCAAUAAUACCUGUCCAACACAAAAGCGGUUUUGGUCAAAAGCAUAUCCCAAUUGCCAUAUUCAAACUGAAAAUCUUCAACCAAAUCACUUUCUUCUCUAAUAAUUUUUGUUGGUAUUGGCUUUGAUAGCUAGUUCCUGUUUAGUUGAAAGGUCCUCUUCUCAUGUGCUAUGGAAAAUUAUCGUGAAAUUUCACAUGCCAACUUGUUUAAGGUUUUAUCAUUUUCAAAAUGCUCGUAAAUGCCUAGUCUCUGUGCCAAAUUGAUAUCGAAUAAAAAUUACAUUUUCGAGCACGAGGAGGAUCAAACUUUUGACGAUAAAAAUUUGUUUUGGGAGGGGAAAGAUCUUUGAUCCUUUCGACGAUAGCAAACAUUCAUAAAAAAAAAAAAAAAAAAGAAAGAUGAUGAGUUAAAUGUAAGUAAGAUUUAUGGGAAAAAAAAAAGUAUUAAGUGGUACUUGAAUGAUCAAGGAUGUAUAUCAUACAGUACUACUUGGAGUUCGGAACUUGACUGAUCAUAGUACAGAAUCCACCAUUUUUACCCUAAUCCAGAACCAAUUUGUCAACAAAUGAAUUUCUUCAUUCCAGUAUUCUUUUGUUUUAUAUUUUUAUCCAGGGAGGAUUCCCAUAAUUCAUCGCGUUCGUGAUCGGACAUAUACAUGUACAAACAUAUGUCCAAUCCGUUGAGGAUAUACGUAUGGCACGGAAAAUCUGCAUGUCUGAAGCAUCUACAGCGGCAACAACCUGCCUAUUCGACUCAUUUGCUUUCAGAGUUGGAGCCGUUUCAUGUAGGAACCUUGGCAAAUUUAGAAUGUUCAAAUAAAACAGCAUUUUUUGUUGCCACCUCUUAAAAUCAGUCCAUUAAACCUUUUUGACUUUUCUCCAUGAUUCUCCAAAACUGCUGUAGGAAUUAGUGACAUAACAGUAAUGGGGUUACUUCCAGAAUCAACAUUAGAGCUGGGAUUUCUAGAACCAAUGUCAUCAGAUACACUUGCCAUUGAUUCUAAUAAAGCAAAAUAUAACACAAAAUAUUACUUAAAAAAAUUGCAAUAAAACAAAUAUUAAUCUGUCUUAAGAUUGUUAAACAAUCUAUUGUGCAAUAUGUGUGAAAAUUGGCAGAUACUAUUCUAAAAUUAAUUUAAUAACAAUCAAAAAUCAGAACAAACUUACAAAACUUUAUUUAUAGAAAAAACAGAAUCUAAAUGUAGAAAACUGAGACAUGUAUUCGAUACAAGUGUCCUUAGGACAGAUUAUCAUUUGCCGAUGCCAACGGAAUGAACGGACUCUGUCUCCCAUGUACAUAGUCCGGGAAUCUCAACGUGGCAGUACACAACAUGAGCCUGACGAAUCAACAACAUGAUGUAUCUACCACUCCAAGUAGUAGUUUUCUAUGGGUCAACAGUCAAUCAAAUUCUUCCAGAACAGAGUAUCAAACUUACAUAUUCUAAUGAAAAAAUAUUUUUUAUGUCUCAAUAAUCGCGCAAAGACCUAACAUAUACUAAUUUCCUUUAUAGUAUAACAAUAUGCAAAAGAAAAGUGCAGAGGAGAGAAGAAUGCAAGAUGUGCUAGAAUGGCUGAAAGGGGAAGGUUUUUAUAGAGAAUCCAUGGCUAUUGAAGCGAUGCAACUCCCCAAAAGGAAGGCACCGUUUGGUGUUAAAAUUUGAACGCAUAAGGACCAAAACGAACAACGCAAAUGUUUGGAACAAUCCAAAUGGGACGCAACUGUUCAACCGCAUCCAAAUAGACAUAAAAACAUUCGGUGGACCAAUGCAAUUACUGAAACUUGUUUAUUAAAAAAAUAAAUAAUUUUUUUGUAAAAAAUAUAGAGAGAGGUCCAACCUAAGCCCAACCCACAAGAACCCGCGACCACGGCCCUCGGGUCCGAAGGGCGGCGCGCAGGGUAUUUUUCAGUCCGCCCACACAUUCCAUAUUCUAUGCCUAAACCCAUCCAUACCUCCCCUCACUUCUACAACCUUGGGUACUCCUGGGGUCCAUCCCAGGUGUCGGCAGCCUUUCUUUUAUACGCCACCUCAAAAUUCAUCCUUUUCCAAUGUUGGACUAAACACUUCCCUACAUAACCAUAUUUAAGUAGUACACUUUGGAGCCAAUUUUCAAUUCAAUUGUAAAUACAUUUGAACAACUAAUUACAUAUUCUUAAUUCUCACAUGGAAGUGUAUCCAUAGCCUCUUGAACCCAUCAAAAAUGUGUGGGGGUCCCACUUUAAUUAAGCCUCAAAGUUAGGUAAAACUAAUGGAUUAUAAACCCAAUUUUCCAACGCAAUGUCCAUCAACCACCACUCAUUUGACGGUGGUUAACAGGACCCUUCAAUUUAUUACGUCCUUUAUUAUCUUUUUAAAUUUUCCGUUUACCAUAUCAUUUUCCUCGCAAAAUCCCUCCACAAAUUCUUUAUCCAAAUACAACCUAAAAGAAAAUAACUUUCUGAAAAGUCCUUUUUGUUUCUAAUUGUUCGAGGGAUUUAAAUAUUGAAGACUAUGGAGACAAAAGUAUAAUAAGCCUAUCAAUGGACAAGAGAAAAAUUCAUCUAAACAAAAAUGUGUAUUGCUAUAAAAAAAACAAUGGUAACUAGUUCUCAUUGCGAUCUAAAUUUUAUUAAAGAAGCUUCACUGACUCGUUUCAAUCAGGGGCCUGAGAAACACGUAUAAUAAAAUCCAGUGAAACCAAUUUAAAACCAAUUGCAAAUCCUAUAGGCAGUGUCUGAAAAACAGUAGAAUGUUUGUUAAUGAGAUUACAAUGAACAUGGAAUUUCGUCUAAAUUGCCAGAAACAUUAGACAUGAAGUUUGGAUCAAUGAUUUGAGGAGGGAAAAGAAAUUUAAAAAUGAAAAAUGUCUAGUGAUCGAUGGGGUCCUGGACGGUGGAUCGUUUAACUUUUUUAUUUCCAUUUCAUUUUUCUUACAAAUCUGUGAUCCAAAACACAGUCUAAGGUGGAAAAAAUUGGGUUUCAAAUGAAGGGUUUAACAUAAUUAUUCAAUGAGAAUAACUCAAAUUUAGAUAUAGUAGUUUGUGUAUACAGUUCAACAUUGAGUUUUGAAACUUUAUAACGACAAAUUUGAAAUGACUAAAUAAUAAGUGUGAUUUGAAUCCUUCAUGCUAGAAUGUAACUUACAAAGAAAUAGAUCUAUCUAUUCCUAGUUCCCGUACCACUCUAAAUGUCACACCACACACUCCAUCUCUCUAUUGUUAUUAAAUCCAAAACACUAAAUGCCUUGAUUUGAAAUUAAGUAAGGUUAUGAAAAUGGAGCCUAAUUUCUCCCAAGUUUUCAGCCAACUAAUAAGUAAAAAAAGACCAACAAGCCCUGUCCAAGGACCAUAUUUACAGAAAACAAAGAAAAAACUAACUUAUUAAAAAUCAAUGAAAAAUACUCCUUUUUAUUGAUUUCUUUAUUACAGUUGAGUUUCAAGAAAAUGGAACUAUAAUGAACAGAACAAACAAGCAUUUACAGUCACUAAAGCAAUACGGUGUGGGAGUGUUAAAACUGGUGGUCCGGAAAAAUAAGGAAACGUGGCAUUUGUUUCCAAAAGCUGCACAAUUGGUCCAUAGUUGGCCUAGAUGCAAAUUUGGAUGACACACGCACAGCAUGAAACAUUACUGCUCCAUUGCUCCUGUGACCCCAUUUCGGCAUAUUUUCUUCAACAACAUCCAAUUGCUCUCACCCUGCCUCCCCAAUGACCAUUGCCCAAUCUGUCAACAGGCAGUCUUCUCUCCAUUCUGAGAGCACCCCUUUCUUGUCCCCUCAAAAGUUCGAGCAGAACUACCCCGAAGCUGUUAAAACGUCGCUCCCUCACUAGUUUCCAUGCAAAAGCAUACUCUGGGGGCGACAUAACCUAGAAUUCCAGCACCCUGGUGCUCAAGGGUGUCGUCUCCCUUGAUUGAACUUGCAAGCCGAAAUCUGCCACCUGCAACUCAAUUUCUCAUCCAAAAGUAUAUGGCUGGGCUUUGAUGUCAGGUGAAAUGAUGCCCGGCUGUGCUCAUAGUGCAAGUAAUCCAACCGUGAGCAGUUCCCAGAGCUAUUCUUUGACGGAUUGGCCCAGGGAAGUCUUUUAGCCCAGAUCCAAAAAAGAUGGUAUAGAGGCCUCCGCUUGCAUCAGAUCCACACAUUUCAUCCUAUGGUGGCAUUGUAGAGGU